UACAGAGGUCUCAAGCGUUGUUCGGAUUCAUUGGGCGUAAAGGGUGCGUAGGUGGCGCCGUAAGUCAGGUGUGAAAUUUCGGAGCUUAACUCCGAAACUGCAUUUGAUACUGCGGUGCUUGAGGACUGGAGAGGAGACUGGAAUUCACGGUGUAGCAGUGAAAUGCGUAGAUAUCGUGAGGAAGACCAGUGGCGAAGGCGGGUCUCUGGACAGUUCCUGACACUGAGGCACGAAGGCCAGGGGAGCGAAAACGGGG
rnacentral:rRNA from 1 species